AUGAGAUUACUUCAUAUGCAACUAAAUCAUAUGCAGUUGCUUGUUAUAAUUGACAACCGGACAAUAAUGUGUAUUGGUUGCUUGAAUAAUGAUUGUCAAUUCAUCGAUGCAAAGCUAACACAAACGCACUUGCCAAAUUCAGAUAUUGGCCAAUUUGAUAUUAAGGGUGCAUCAUGGACAAGACAUGGUUGUCUAAGCCUAGGCAUGUCAAGUUUAUUUUUUUGCCAACUCAUAAGUGGUAUAAUUAUGUCAUUAGUUAUUCUGAUAUCUAAAAAGUACAUGUAGGCACACAAAUUUGCUGGUUCAAACAGUUGUUGACCACUUCAUACAAUGCAUUUGCUGGUUCAAACUGAUGUGCACACAACGGCAUCUGUGAUCUACUCAUUUUGCCACUUUAAAAUAAAUAGAUGCAAAUUUGAUGUAUUUAGUAUGUUCAAUUUGCUCAUAGGGGUUGUUUGCUUGACCUUGUGCAUGGUGCCAAAAAGCUACAGCGGCAGGCUUUUCCGUCAAAGGAAAUUGAUACACACUAGAAAAACUUACCUAUUUCUAUCAGGUUUGAAGUAUAUUGGUCGUGAAUGAAAGUCUAUUGGGACCCUAAGCAUCAUAUUGGAUCAUUGUGACAACAACGAGUAUUCACAAGUGUGGUACCCACCCACCUAGUGUGUAUGGAUGUGAUCAUAGUGUUAGGUGGCAUUUUCCUCUUUGCAGUAUUUUGGACCGGCCAACUUGUGAUCAUGAAUCUAAUUUGUGUUCUGGACCAUUUGGCGCUUCAAAUGUAGUAGAAAUCUUGUGGUCAUGGAUGUAACUUAAGUGUUUUGGACCAUUUAGUGUUUAAACUCUUUUAGAACAGCAAAUAGUGGUUCCUUUAUGUGACUUGUGUUUUCUGGAUGGUAGUCAAGAUGGACAAACUUUCCUUUGUCAAGGUUGUCCUUUUUUUGAACUUGUGAUCAAUAUAUAUGU